rnacentral:lncRNA from 1 species
GUCGGGUUGUUGUCUCUUUGACACAUUCCCCAUUUCCAUUCUCAAUUUUAUUAAUAGAACAAAAACUAUCAGCUGAUAAAGCAAAGCCAGGGAAAUACUAGUAAUCCAGCAUAAGCAUGAUAAGAAACACAUUUAUAUGAAUACGUACAUGUAAAGAUCGGUUGAUUGCUGGUUAUAAAAUGUCCAGUGACAAGUAUUUCAUGCAAAGGAGUAGGUCCGGUAAGGACCGAUUUUGGCCUCAAAUUUCAGGUUCAUCUGACGAAAGAUUUUGACCACUUUUUAAACACUUAAGUGUCUAUUUUAUUUGAAUUAAUUAGUUUAUGUGAAAGAUUUUAACAGAUUUAGUCAUUAAAAACGAUCCGAUUCAAGCUCAAAUAUGAAAAAUCUACCUAAUAUGCCGAAAAAUGUCACUUUUCAGAUGGUUUUUGGUAAAAAUGAAAGUAGCCGCAUCCGUGUUCAUCCUCAACCUUUAUAUAUGUUAUGUAUUAUCAUAAAAUACAACUUACAUUUCAAUAUUAUGGAUGAACACGAAUGCGGCCACUUUCGUUCUACACGAAAACCGUCUAAAAUUUAACUAAAAUACUAGAAUUAUGAGGAUUUCAGUAAUUUAGC